rnacentral:rRNA from 1 species
GUGCCAGCCGCCGCGGUAAUACGGAGGGUGCAAGCGUUAUCCGGAUCUAUUGGGUUUAAAGGGUCCGUAGGCGGGCUGAUAAGUCAGUGGUGAAAUCCUGCAGCUUAACUGUAGAACUGCCAUUGAUACUGUUAGUCUUGAGUAUAUUUGAAGUAGCUGGAAUAAGUAGUGUAGCGGUGAAAUGCAUAGAUAUUACUUAGAACACCAAUUGCGAAGGCAGGUUACUAAGAUAAGACUGACGCUGAGGGACGAAAGCGUGGGGAGCGAACAGGAUUAGAUACCCUGGUAGUCCACGCUGUAAACGAUGCUGACUCGUUUUUGGUUUUUAGGGAUCAGAGACUAAGCGAAAGUGAUAAGUCAGCCACCUGGGGAGUACGACCGCAAGGUUGAAACUCAAAGAAAUUGACGG